GACUACCACUUGUUUUUUAUUUUGCCCGCGCGGCGCUGCGUGUCGUCUUCGUCUUUUCCCCAUUUUGUCAACCCCGUGGAGGCUCACAAUACUGCAAGGAAGGACGGAGGCGGCGACUCCUUCCAGAUCCGUUCCGACGGCGGCAUGCAGGCAGCUACGGCUUUUUGAAAAUGUCAAGGAGGAAGAAGAGCCAGCUGGGUCCAGUUGUAGGUGGCAGGAAGAUAGCCAAUAAGGUUUGAUGGGGCGGAUAGCGGAGGGGAGGGGUGUUGAUGGAAAGGACGUAGGAGAGGAUGGAGAUGCUUCAGUAGAGCGCAGUGACCAUGGCGGGACGCACGUAGGCGCAUAGGGGCGAGCCGGAGUUUGUUUCUGGUGCCGGGCUCGUGGAAGGGGUCGUACCACAGUCCGCAGGGAGGCGGCAACAUGGCUUGGGCUUGUUCUUUUCUUCUAUAUGCAUAUUUUCAGGCUUUAUAUUGUUGCGUGCUUCUUCAGAGACUAUGUGCAAGUUUUAGGUUAUUGCUACUGUCUACUUAUGCAAGUUUGUCCCAACCUUCUAUUCUACUGCUGAUGUCUAUCUAUGCAAGUCUGUGCUGAUGCUUUUUUUUUA